AUUGAACGCUGGCGGAAUGCUUUACACAUGCAAGUCGAACGGCAGCACGGACUUCGGUCUGGUGGCGAGUGGCGAACGGGUGAGUAAUGCAUCGGAACAUGCCUAGUCGUGGGGGAUAACGUAGCGAAAGUUACGCUAAUACCGCAUACGUCCUGAGGGAGAAAGCGGGGGACCGAAAGGCCUCGUGCGAUUAGAGUGGCCGAUGUCAGAUUAGCUAGUUGGUGGGGUAAAGGCCUACCAAGGCGACGAUCUGUAGCGGGCCUGAGAGGAUGAUCCGCCACACUGGGACUGAGACACGGCCCAGACUCCUACGGGAGGCAGCAGUGGGGAAUUUUGGACAAUGGGGGCAACCCUGAUCCAGCCAUUCCGCGUGCGGGAAGAAGGCCUUCGGGUUGUAAACCGCUUUCGGACAGAAAGAAAUCGCCAUUCCUAAUACGAGUGGUGGAUGACGGUACUGUAAGAAGAAGCACCGGCUAACUACGUGCCAGCCGCCGCCGUAAAAC
rnacentral:rRNA from 1 species